CGACAAGUUAUCUUUACUAUCAUUUAUUUGAAGGAAUUUGUUUUGGCCGUCGUCGUCGUGUUGCCGUCCUGCAUGCUUAAGCUCGCUAAUAGCCGUCCUAAAACGCUUCGCCGUCUUGUUUGCUUAAGGUCCCUAUCAUGUCGAAUUCGUAUACGACACAAGGGAAAGCUUUGCCUGACAAAGUCAGGCAGGAAAUUAUAGAGAAGUGGUUGAAUAACGAAGGAAUUGCCGAGAUAUCUCGGCAAUUAGUUUUACCAUACAAAAGUGUAUCUAAUAUUGUAGAUCUGUGGAUAACCACAGGUUCAACUAAACCUCGAUCUCCACAACGUGUUGGUAUUAGAACUGCUCGAACUGAUGAUGUUAUCAGGUACACUGAAUACACGAA